UUGGAGGCUCAAGCGGCCGCUCCGAUGAAAAUCGGAGAGGAAAGUCCAGACAGCCAAAGGCACGGUACCCCGUGUAAGCGGGGGCAGGUAACUGCCAGUUAGAGCAACAGUGACGAAUCUUCUGCUUCGUAAAGGGCUUGCCCAAAGCGAAGUCGAAGGGUGAAACGGGCAAUCCUUCCGGCUGCAAUCCUCGAGCUUGUCCAUAAUGUCGCCUUUCAGGCCCGCCUAGCGGGCGGACAAAAAGUAGGAGCAUUAGAUAGAUGACCGCAUAAACAGAAUCUGGCUUAUGAGCCUCCAAACAA
rnacentral:RNase_P_RNA from 2 species